rnacentral:rRNA from 1 species
CCUACGGGAGGCAGCAGUGGGGACUAUUGGGCAAUGGGCGCAAGCCUGACCCAGCAACGCCGCGUGAAGGAAGAAGGCUUUCGGGUUGUAACCUUCUUUUGUCAGGGAAGAGUAGAAGACGGUACCUGACGAAUAAGCCACGGCUAACUACGUGCCAGCAGCCGCGGUAAUACGUAGGUGGCAAGCGUUGUCCGGAUUUACUGGGUGUAAAGGGCGUGUAGCCGGGUUGACAAGUCAGAUGUGAAAUCCUGCGGCUUAACCGCAGAACUGCAUUUGAAACUGUUGAUCUUGAGUACUGGAGAGGCAGACGGAAUUCCUAGUGUAGCGGUGAAAUGCGUAGAUAUUAGGAGGAACACCAGUGGCGAAGGCGGUCUGCUGGACAGCAACUGACGGUGAGGCGCGAAAGCGUGGGGAGCAAACAGGAUGAGAUACCCCAGUAGUC